GCGGACGGGUGAAUAAUAUAUCGGAACGCGCCCGUAGCGGGGGAAAACCACUCGAAGAACGGCCAAUACCGCAUACGCCCCACGGGGGAAAGGGGGGGAUUCUUCGGAACCUCUCACCAUUGGAGCGGCCGAUAUCGGAUAGCCAGUUGGUGGGGUAAGGCUCACCAAGGCAACGAUCCGUAGCCGGUUUGAGAGGACGACCAGCCACACUGGGACUGAGACACGGCCCAGACUCCUACGGGAGGCAGCAGUGGGGAAAUUUUGGACAAUGGGGGAAAACCCUGAUCCAGCCAUCCCGCGUGUAUGAUGAAGGCCUUCGGGUUGUAAAGUACUUUUGGCAGAGAAGAAAAGGUAUCUCCUAAUACGAGAUACUGCUGACGGUAUCUGCAGAAUAAGCACCGGCUAACUACGUGCCAGCAGCCGCGGUAAU
rnacentral:rRNA from 1 species